rnacentral:tRNA from 1 species
GGUCGGGUGCCCGAGAAGCUAGGGAGUGGUCUGCAAAACCAUUUACAGGGGUGCGAAUCCCCUCCCGACCUCCA